GCGAGCUACUGGGGAACAUCCUUCCUGUUCAGAUGUCCAGGAGUUGGCUGCAUGUGGACAUCCGCGCGCAAAGUGCCUGGAAGCAGGGGGUGAGCGCGCAGAACAAGAAGUUCAGGAUUCUGAGCCCACUCCUUUUACUCUUGGGGCCGGCCCCACUUCCUCUGGGGGCCCAGGCAUCCCUCUGGCAAGUCUUCAGCUAAGAAAUCUGCAGAAGUCAUUGGCCAGACUUAGAACUAAUCCUUUGUGCCAAAAGGGUUGGUGGAAGGGGAGGGAGCUUUGCCAGAACCAGGAUGUUCCUUGCUUGUGGUGAACCCUGCUGCCUCCCAGCCAUCCCACUGCUUUUCUUUGGGAAGUAGGGGAAAUGCGAUUGAGGGGCCAGUGUAAUUCGGCAACACGUUUAAUCGCUGUUCCAGUGACUUCUACAUUAAUGAGAGGGGCAAGAUGAAGGAUCCCUUACCAGGUGGAAAAAGAGGCUUUCUGAGUAGAGAAAGGAAAACUUCCAGUGAAAGAAGACACUGAUGAUCAAAUGACACAAUUGAGUGGUUGCAGAGUUUUGCAAAUGGAGGCCUGCAUACAUUCAAGGAAUACAGACUAGCCCAGCAGACUGCUCAGGGCAAGAACCAUGGAUACAAGGAAGCCUGGAGAAAAAUUGUAAACUGAGGAGAGGGAACUCUUCCAACAGUAGCUGAAAUAACACCUUGCACAGAGGAGGCAAGGCAAAAGAAUAAAGGUAGAUUACUUUUUUUGAUUCUGUAUUAUUCUGUCUCAUUGGGUUUUUUACCUCAUUUUUUACCUCAUUGAUACUAACAGGUAUCUCAUUAUACAUGAUGUAAAAAUAGAAGGAGAAAAAAAUAACCCAGAGGUUGGGCCGACGGGAUAAAAUUAACUAAAUAAAUUGGAAUCAUGAUAUCUGACACAGUCAUUUAUUCAUUCACCCUGAUGAUGGGGGAUGUUCCACGGGCAGGAUGUUGCUGCUGGGGGUAUGGGGAGAGGUCGGUGCAUGAGGUCUUCUAGCUCCCUGGUGGGAUUGUAGGGGGAGAGAUCAUUAACACAUGCUCACAUAAGCUGGGUAGCUUCAGAUACAGGUGCUAUGGAAAUGAUCAUGUGCAGAAAUACCCAAUCACAUAGAAAGGCAAGUGCACAGAGAGACGGGCGAGGGAUGCUUGUGCUGAGAUCUGAGAGAGGGACAGGAGUGACCAGGCAGAGGAUACAGUGAAGGCAAGGGUGCGCUGCAGGCAAAGGGAGUACCAUGUGCAAUGGUCCACGACUGGGUGAAGCAUCCGAUGUGUACUUGGUAUAUGGAGAAUGGGGGGAUGGGUGUAUGGGGAAGAGGAAGGAGGUAAGCAGAGGCAAGUUCAUCCUUUCAUCUUCUCAUCCUCUAUAUUCAUGGAAUAGCCCUUGUGUGCCAGGCCAACUGAGAUGCUUUGGUGAGCAAGAUGGACCCAGUCCUUGUCCUCCGGGAGCUCACAGGUCAUAGGAGAGAGGAUGCUCUUUCCAUCAUUAUGGCAACCUGAUGGGUUAUUUAAUGUCUAAUUGUUAUUUAUUUGGGAUCUCUUAUCUUGCUAAAUGUAUUUGCUUCCUUUAAAAAAUGGCAGCGUGUUCUGGGUGUCUGGUGUUUUAUGGAAUAAAACAUUCCUGAUGAAGACAUUGCUUUUCAGCUCAAGAAGUCUUGAGGUUGAGAGCAAGAGGGUCAGCAUCGGUAUUCUGUAUUGAUUGUUAUUUGUCUGUCGAUAGACUUUGCUCACAACCUUUAGGACUUGGUCUUAUGAAGUCUCAGCAUUUACAGAUGCCUAAGUAAAUCUGUUUGAAAGGGGAUGGAU